rnacentral:rRNA from 1 species
GAGCUAAUACAUGCUAACACGCUCGACUCAGGAAGGGAUGUAUUUAUUAGACUAAAAACCAAUGCGGGUCCUCGUGGCUCGUUUCUUGGUGAUUCAUGAUAACUUUUCGAAUCGCAUAGCCCAGCGCUGGCGAUGUUUCAUUCAAAUUUCUGCCCUAUCAACUGUCGAUGGUACGGUAGUGGCUUACCAUGGUUGUAACGGGUGACGGAGAAUUAGGGUUCGAUUCCGGAGAGGGAGCCUGAGAAACGGCUACCACAUCUAAGGAAGGCAGCAGGCACGGAAAUUACCCAAUCCUAACACAGGGAGGUAGUGACAAGAAAUAACGGUACGGGGUCUUCAUAGGUCUCGCAAUUGGAGUGAGUACAAUUUAAAUCCUUUAACGAGGAUCAAUUGGAGGGCAAGUCUGGUGCCAGCAGCCGCGGUAAUUCCAGCUCCAAUAGCGUAUAUUAAAGUUGUUGCAGUUAAAAAGCUCGUAGUUGGAUUUCGGAGCGGGCCAGUCGGUCCACCGAAAGGUGUGUUACUGACUGGUCUGUUCUUCUUCGCGAAGACUACGCGUGCUCUUUGUUGAGUGUGCGUAGGAUUCACGACGUUUACUUUGAAAAAAUUAGAGUGUUCAAAGCAGGCUGUCGCUUGAAUACAUGAGCAUGGAAUAAUGGAAUAGGACUUUGGUUCUAUUUUGUUGGUUUCUAGGACCGAAGUAAUGAUUAAGAGGGACAAUUGGGGGCAUCCGUAUUUUGUUGUCAGAGGUGAAAUUCUUGGAUUUACGAAAGACAAACUACA